CCUACGGGAGGCUGCAGUGGGGGAUAUUGCACAAUGGGGGGAACCCUGAUGCAGCGACGCCGCGUGGGUGAAGGAGCGUUUCGGCGCGUAAAGCCCUAUCGGCAGGGAAGAAGGAGGACGGUACCUGACUAAGAAGCCCCGGCUAACUACGUGCCAGCAGCCGCGGUAAUACGUAGGGGGCAAGCGUUAUCCGGAUGUACUGGGUGUAAAGGGGGGGCAGACGGCAGCGCAAGCCAGGAGGGAAAGCCCGGGGCCCAACCCCGGGCCUGCACAUGAAAAUGCGAGGCUGGAGUGCAGGAGGGGCAGGCGGAAUGCCUGGUGUAGCGGUGGAAUGCGUAGAUAUCAGGAGGAACACCGGUGGCGAAGGCGGCCUGCUGGACUGCGACUGACGUUGAGGCCCGAAAGCGUGGGGAGCAAACAGGAUUAGAUACCCGGGUAGUC
rnacentral:rRNA from 1 species